rnacentral:rRNA from 1 species
GACGAACCGUGCGAACGUUAUUCGGAAUCACUGGGCUUAAAGCGCGUGUAGGCGGGAGGGCACGUCCGUCGCUGAAAUCCCCCGGCUCAACCGGGGAACGGGCGCGGAUACGACCUUCCUGGAGGGGCGUAGGGGGACCUGGAACUUCCGGUGGAGCGGUGAAAUGCGUUGAGAUCGGAAGGAACGCCCGUGGCGAAAGCGAGGUCCUGGACGCCUACUGACGCUCAGGCGCGAAAAGCUAGGGGAGCGAACAGG